GCGCGAGUGGUGAAAUUGGCAGACACGCUAGAUUUAGGCUCUAGUGCCUCCGGCAUAAGGGUUCGAGUCCCUUCUCGCGCACCA
rnacentral:tRNA from 1 species